rnacentral:misc_RNA from 1 species
AAUGCCUACACCAGAUCUUUUGAAAUCAUCUUCACUCCUCGAUCCUCUCUAUAUUCACAUCUUUUGCAAUCAUCUCAACAAAAUUUGAGAUGGGUAAACUCCACAACUUCAAAUAAUCCUCUUCUCAUUAUCACACCAUUCCAUGAAUCAGAAAUCCAAGCAGCUGUUCUUUGCAGCAAGAAUCAAGGCUUACAAGUUAGAGUCAGAAGCGGUGGCCAUGACUAUGAAGGCUUAUCUUAUCUAAGUCAGACCCCAUUCAUCAUUAUUG